rnacentral:lncRNA from 1 species
AUGAGCCCCAGGCAAGGCAUGAGGGAGCCCAUUCUGCCUGGGCUGCUCUUAGGGGCGCAGUAUUACCAAGAGACUGAGCAGGGUCAUAUCAGAGUUACCUUUUUCAUCUGUAAAGGAUAUAUCAAGCCAUUUGUGUAACUGUCCAGAGGAUUCACAAAGAGCUUCAGUAUGCACCACAAGGGGCUUGACUGCAUAGGCGCAGUAUUAUGAAGAGGCUGAGCAGGGUCACCUUUUUCAUCUGUCAAGGAUAAGUCUGUGAUGACUCCUGUCGGGUCUGCUGUGUAUUCAUGGCCUUUUGGCAUUUGCGGACCUGCAAGGAGCUGUGCCGUUAGCGUGUCCAUCACGGGCAUGACCUUCUCUUUUUGCUUCUAGUAGCCCAGGUCGUAGGCACGGACUACGCUGGAA